CCUACGGGAGGCAGCAGUGGGGAAUUUUGGACAAUGGGCGCAAGCCUGAUCCAGCCAUGCCGCGUGUGGGAAGAAGGCCUUCGGGUUGUAAACCACUUUUGUCAGGGAAGAAACGGUCUGAACUAAUACUUUGGACUAAUGACGGUACCUGAAGAAUAAGCACCGGCUAACUACGUGCCAGCAGCCGCGGUAAUACGUAGGGUGCAAGCGUUAAUCGGAAUUACUGGGCGUAAAGCGUGCGCAGGCGGCUUUGCAAGACAGAUGUGAAAUCCCCGGGCUCAACCUGGGAACUGCAUUUGUGACUGCAUGGCUAGAGUACGGUAGAGGGGGAUGGAAUUCCGCGUGUAGCAGUGAAAUGCGUAGAUAUGCGGAGGAACACCGAUGGCGAAGGCAAUCCCCUGGACCUGUACUGACGCUCAUGCACGAAAGCGUGGGGAGCAAACAGGAUUAGAUACCCUGGUAGUCCACGCCCUAAACGAUGUCAACUGGUUGUUGGGAGGGUUUCUUCUCAGUAACGAAGCUAACGCGUGAAGUUGACCGCCUGGGGAGUACGGCCGCAAGGUUGAAACUCAAANAGAGUAGAGCGNGAGAGAGCGACGACGACGACGAGGGAGGAGG
rnacentral:rRNA from 1 species